GACAGCCCGUAAACUAAGCAGUCUCUUUGCAACUAAACUGAAGGGCUUGUGCACACAGAACCAGCUUUAAUUAUCUUUUUUUUUUUUUUCAAGUACUUUGGGAAAUAAUCAAAGAAAAAAAUCUAAAUCUAUGUUGCUUUUAAAUGGAUCCCUUGUUGAAGUGUGGGGGUUGACAGCUGUCCCAGAAAAUCAGGGCCACGGUGAAUUAGAAUGAUGUUGACUGAUGUUUGGCUUGGUGUUUCUUCCACGGUAUACCAACUUCCUCGGCAAAACAUAUCACAGGUGAUUACAUGGAACUAAAAAGAUGAAUAAAAAUAAACUGAUUCAUGAUUUCCUGGAAGUAGUUUCAAGAGGUGAUGUGAAACUCAUCUGUGACCAUAUUAGUAAAGUCCAUUCCAUCCUCGGAAACCUUAACUUUCAGCAUCCAAAGACUGGGAAUACACCUCUCAUUACUGCAGCAGCAGAAAAUCUAACAGAGGUUGUUGGAUUUCUUCUGGAAAAGGGAGCAGAUAUCACCCUUUGCAAUUACAGCAAUAAAACCGCAGUCCAUGUGGCUAAAAGUGAUGUUCAGAGGCAACUCCUGGCCAUGACUGGAAUCCAGGCUCCCCAAAUGCAACUUCUACGAAGUUCGUGGCAAGGCGAUCUUGAACAACUUCAGCACUUGCUGGUCAGUUAAACUGAUGUUUGCUUCUGCCUUUGGGUAGGUGAGUGGGUGGGGGUGGGGUGAGAAGGGCACAGACUACAUACAACUCCUUUAAAGAAAAAGAAGUUCUUUUCCAGAGCAGUCCAAGAAAGUUUCAGGCAGGAAAUCUGAGAGAAAAAAGGGUCAAAUGGGAGAGUGGGGUGGAAAACAAGAUAAUAAAAGAACAUAGCAGCAGCCUAUUUACA
rnacentral:lncRNA from 1 species